CACCGGCAGCUCUAGUGGUAGCAACUUUUAUUGGGCCCUAAAGCGUCCGUAGCCGGUUUAAUAAGUCUCUGGUGAAAUCCUGUAGCUUAACUGUGGGAAUUGCUGGAGAUACUAUUAGACUUGAGACCGGGAGAGGUUAGAGGUACUCCCAGGGUAGAGGUGAAAUUCUGUAAUCCUGGGAGGACCGCCUGUUGCGAAGGCGUCUAACUGGAACGGUUCUGACGGUGAGGGACGAAAGUUAGGGGCGCGAACCGGAUUAGAUACCCCGGUAGUCC
rnacentral:rRNA from 1 species